GUGCAGGUAGAUUAUUAAAAUUAAAUCGUUAGGCUGUUAACCUUUAGAAAGCUUUGUGGGCUCCUGGACG
rnacentral:tRNA from 1 species